UGUACGACACGCUUAGCAGUAGGUUAUGUAGAUCAAGUAGGCAUCCAUCCUAUUCGGUUAACCGAUCGAAGCACGUACCACUCCUUUAUUGUGCAGAUUUGUAGGAUAAUUUAUGCCCCCCAAUGUUGACGCAUAUAUCUUAACAACACUUUACCGAGAAGUUUUUCGUUUAUGACCGAUCCACGCAAGCAAGGCAUUGCCUAAUUUGUCGAGAUGAUUAAACUAAAAAUCGAUUUGGAGAGGUGGGACAGCAUCUAUCACCAGAGACCGUAGCUUUAAUUUGUGCAGCUCCCUUUCUACUCUGGGCGUUUCGGUGCUCGAUCCCGUUUGGUCACCAAGAGAAAUAGAUAAUUUCUCCAGAGCAUCAGCAUGAACUUUUCUCCUCCUCAUGUUCGGCUUAUCUACAGACGCGGACGAAUGAUUGGAUGCGCUUUUUUUUGCUUUUGCUAGAUCAAUUAAGAUCAGUUCCGAUCCGAAAAUUCCACCUGCUAUCUACUAUCUUUGUCUCUCUUCCACAAGUGAGUUCAAUUAUUGAGGGGGAGAAAAACGCAGCAGCGCUAGAGUAGAUACCGGCACUUGGCAUGGUUCCAGCAUGUCAAUUCCAAGGCUAAUUCGUGCAUCGUCAGUCGACUGUACCAAGCGAAGGAAAAGAGAAAUGGAAGAAUGAUAUUAUGUCUCGGAGCUGCUGCACGUAGCGGUCCUCCAUCUAUCAUC
rnacentral:lncRNA from 1 species